ensembl:lncRNA
UUUACUGUUUAUUUUCAUAUACAAAAAGAUAAACUUGAAAUAGUUCUUUCUAGGUUUUUUUUUCCUCCUAUCUGUUGGGGUGUAGCUGCUUCACACAGGGCAAAUACUACAUUCAUACUGGUUUAUUCGGACACCCAGUGCAAAGCUGAAGCAGCAAAACUCCAACUUGGCAGAUCUAAUUUCAAACUUGAGACUCUUUCUAAAAUACCACAGUAAAAAGGAACAAAGAUCCACUGCAAAUUCAUGAACUAUGAUACAAUGUUCUUUCCAAAAUGUCUUCAUUUCAUAAAUGCAAUACAAUGGAUGUCUGCAUUAGGCCAUUUUAUACAUACAUUUUAUAUAUGUAUACUUCUGCAGAAUAUAUAUAUAUAUAAAAUGUACAUAUAUAAAAAUCAGCACACUUCAAUCCAAAAGGGGUUACAGCAACGAGCUUAACUCUCUAUACUUUUUUCUUUAACAGGAUACUUUAGUAUAACUUUUGUUAACUCAGUAGUACAAGCUAUCUCUGUUCUACAUUUUUAUAGCUACAAGAGUGAAAUAUAACCUACAACAUUUACAUUUCACAUAUCUUGGUAUACAAACAGUACUUAGUGAAUUUGAGCCAAGGACCAAAAGACUCUUUAAAAAUUAUUUCACCAUCUGAUAGAGCUUCCUGUAAUUUACACUCAGCCUAUUCUGCAAUCUUCUAAAUCAUUUAAUCUCAUAGUUUGAGUUUAAAUCCAUUCCAACUGGAAAUCCUGGAGAAACAGGUUACUGCAAACUCUUAUGUAUACUCUAUAUAUACAAGUUAAGUAACACAGCGUAAUAAGACUUAGCUAUUUAUCCUAAAACUGAUAUACACAUAUUUCACUACGCUAGACAAGUCUUAGGAUUUUCUUUUCUUUCUUUAAAUAAAGCACAAAUUUAGAAGUAGCUGGUAAAACUUACAAUUAGGAUGGUUAUAAAAUGACAAAUGGUUAGGGUGAGAUUUCUUCCUGCUGGUGCCAAAACAUUUUCUUGUGAGUUUUUGUACUAUGCUGUGUUGUUUAACUGUAUGCAUCUAAUGUUACUUAAGUCAACUUUACAGUACAAAAUUUGUCAAACUUAGGGACGAAUGUGAAAAUAUUAACAGGUGAAAGAUCAGACUUUCAACUCUAUCAUGAGGAUCAUGCAGAAUUCAUAAGCAGAUAGUUUGAACAGAUUGACAAUGGCAUUGUGCAGGCUUAUGGCAUAGAAUUGAGGCCAAAAAUGUUACUUAGUUUGCAGUAACCACCUCCUUCAAUCCUCACCCACUACGAGAUUGAUGUUUGCAUCAUAGUUAUUCCAUUGGAAGGCCAGCAGCAUUGCAAAAUAUCACCUCCUGGGAGAUUUUAGUACUUUGAUUUACCAGAGAUAAUAAUCAUCAAUAGCCAUAGAAACAUUAGGCAGUCAAGGAAAAAAAAAAAUGAGGAAAGGGAAUAUCGUGUUCUCUUCCUUUAGUAAUCGUAAAUUAAUUACUAUCCAUUCAUUACCAGUAAUUAAAUGAAUUACUAGCAAUGGUAAAUUCAUUAGUAUUUGGAAAGCUACAGGAAAGCUACUAUGAUGUCCAAGUAAAAUACAGACUAAUGUUGUAGCAACUACAUGGAUACAUUUAAAAAAAAAACAAACCAGACGUUUGGGAGGGCAACACAUAAAAUAAAAUGGUAAUUUUAAAAAUGGUCCCACUUUUAUUUUUCUCCCCAAAAUAUAGCCUGAAAAUAAUUCUCUUCAGCAAAGUACCAUUAAGAAGUUGCUGUAGUUGAAGGUUUGAUUUUAUAAGUUGGUUCUUGGGAGUAGGUAUUUGGAAAAGGAAAGGGACAAACAGGUUUUCAGUCUUGCCAACAUAUUUUUUGCUAUCCACAAAGUUGCUAAGUCCACUUUCCAAAGCUACGAGAUGCUCCAAUCCCCUCCUCCUCUGUCAUGGCUAGAUUUUUGGUUUUGAUUGUUUUUUGGAAUUUAUUUUGGUGUUUUAACAUAUGUGGCAAUGCAGAGAUGCCAGUGACUACUGAAUUAGGAUUUUAAUUGACUAGGAUGGUUACUGGUUAAACUUCAGUUCCUCAAAACACUGGAAAAUUGAAUGAAGUAUGGCCUUCCUUUUCACAAAAAUAGAAGCUAUGGAAUUUUACUAGAACAUGUUUGUUUUGCAAUACCAACCUUAUUGGAAUGUUAUAAACUGAGUUUUUGUUUAUUUUAACAACUGGAAAGACUAAGACUUCUGCUUCAAAAUGGGCCAAAAAUGCAGAAGUGGUGUUUUAGUCAUAUCAUCUGCCCCAUUAAAAUACUGAAAUAAAAGGCUAAUAAAGGAAGCACUUUUUAGAAAACACUUUUUCUUUGUAGAGACCCAGCACAAUGCCAUUAUAGAGCUUCAGAAAAGCCCUUUUGGUUUCAGUGUUGGAAUACAAAAUAAGUUUUUUUUUCCUUCAGUCCUUGGGGAUCACUUUCCAUUUACAUAUAUAUAUCAUAUAUAUACAUGUAUAUAUGUAUAUGAUACAUAUAUAUAAACACCUAUAUAGAGCAAGGUUCCUGUUUGUGUAUGUUACAAUAUUGUAGUAUCAAGGCGAAUCCAGAUAGCAACACUGUUUAACAUGAGGUUUGAGGUAAUUGGUUCUUGAAAUACCUGGAUCACAGACUGCAUCCAGAAAUGACAGCUGGGCAAUGAAAAGUGUGGGUUUUUUUCAGACAGAGAUAAAAAAAUAAAACUAGUAAAAGAAAAAGAAAGCUUACAGCAGUUGCUUUUACAUGGAAAAAUAAAGGCACAACAGAAUAGCAUUACAUUUCAGAACAGCUGGAUGGACAUAACACAAGUAUGAUCUCUUUCUGUGGAAGUGUCCUGACAAAAAGCAUUGCUGCUCAUUCCAUAGGCUACUACUUCAGUCAGGGAACUGAGUGUCACCCUAAAACGAGUCAUAAAAAAGGAAGUCCCAUGUAAAUAAAAGACCAGGUGUGCUUAGAAAGUGUUCCAGAGCACACACACUCUUGUGGUCACACAGGAUUGGAUGGAAACUCUCCUCCUGGUUUCCUCAGGGCUAGGACUUCACCAGAACACAGCUGAGGGAUCGGUAAUUGCAGGAGUCUGCUUGAAUUAGUGAGCACUAAUUGCAAAAGGCACACUGUCAAACCAGCUCCAAGGCAGUGCCAUGUGUUGUUUGGUCUAAAGCUUUUUUCAGUACCUCUCACCCACUGACACUGUACUAUCAUGUCUGAGAGGACUAAAAAGACUGCAGUGAAUUUUAAGUACAAUUGAAAAUUAGGUUACACCCCCCUCCCCCCCAUUUUUUUUUUAAUACUUUUAGAAUAUCUUGGAUUGCUUACACAGAUUUGGGAAGUUCUUUCUCUUAGCAGGACUUUGGACAUGACAGUGCUCCUUUUCUUUAGUGCCUCCGACCCAGACUAUUAAAUCUGAUUUUGGGAACAGAGAGGACAUAGCUGUGUGUUCUGGUGAAGCCUGAUUAGUCGUGUCACUUCAGAGAGAAGGAAUUUCUAGGAACUGGUUUUAUCAGGAUUCCACUGGCAACAGCUCCUUACAGAUCAUAUUGUCAGUGCAGCAGACACAGCUGCUAUCAGCGGAUACGGCAGCGAGCAGGAUCAGCCCGGCUGUUUGGCCUCGGUAAAUUCUUAACACCCUGACUGCACAACUCACUGCAGCACCACAGCAUAUGCCAAAAGACACACUGCCCACACACGGCUACUCGCAUGAAGACGUGAAAAAUUCCUCCCAGGUUAACUGAAGAUGGCUAUAGAAAAGCAAUAAGCAUCUUUAGCAGAAGGGAUGUGACAUGCAAGAUAACCUAAACAUAUACUCAGUGCUGUCCUCAAAGCAUGUCCAAGUACAUCCAACUUGCUCCUCAAACUGUUUUCAGGCUACACUUGUUCUAUCCUCUAGACUUUGAUGUAGUGCACACUUAAUUUAAACAUUAUAUAUAUAUUUAUUUAUUUAUUUGCUGUGCAUACACAGACCUUUCUCCCUUUUCCCUGCAGAAACAUAUUAGACAUUACAAAAAUAAUUUGUGGUAUAAAAGAAUUCUCACACAAUGUAGAAUUUUUGUUUGUAUAUGUAACUAAAAUAUAUAUAUAUAUUUCCAAAAGUAAAAAAGUCAAAAUGUCCUUAUUUUCCUCUAUUAUAUAGUCUAUUUUAUUUACAAUGUUACCAAACAAUAUCCUGUAUGUAAAAGUGACAAAAGUUUGUGGGACGCUUCCUGCUUAGCAACUUCCCAAGCGGAGUGUGGCUUGAAAAGGACUGCAACAACAGCACUGUCACAUUUUAUCACCCAGCACCUUCCUCUGCAGUAUGAGUUCCUUCCAUGCCUGUAAAACAGGGCACGCUCUGACACUCUGCCUAGGAAGUGGUACAAGAGGAAUAAAACAUUUCAGUGCUGCGAUGUUCAGGGGGAUCAGGAUUCCUAACAGCCAGGCCUGACCCAGCCAGCCUGGAAAUGUCUGCUUCCACCAAAACCACUGACUUCAAGUGGGAACAGCAGGGAGUCAGGAGACCCAAGGAAAAUGCAGGGGAGUUACUGGGGGACACACACAGACCUUCUCUUCAAAACAAAGACCUCUGCACUUCCAUAGGUGUAACUGUCUGGCACAUAAAGAUAUUCUGUAAGAGAAUUUCAGCUGAAGAACGAGACAGAAUAAAAAGUGGGUUAUUUUUGUCUUAAAUAGAGAUUUCUUAAUGAUCAGAACCAGCUAAAAUCCUUAAUGAAUAGCCUGAUAUUACUUAACUUAUAGUUAGGCUGGUUUCUAGCCACCUCUUAUAAAAUGCAUGUAUAUUUCAAUAUAAGCCAUAUACAAUUUUCAGCCUUGCUGUAUUAAUGCAAUUUCAUCAGCAAGUCACAGCUCUACCAUCUCAAAAAAACACCCCAGUUUUUGUUUCUGUGGUAUUUCCAGUUUAAAAAUGUGAAGUCAAAAUUUCUGCACCUAAAAACCAGUCCAGCCAGUGCAAUAAAUUCAUAAAAGGGAGUUCCACCAGAGAGAUGUGGAAUCCUGGCUCCUAAAGACAAGGAGAAUUUUUACUCAGGAUAUUCAGUGUUAAUAUUCACCUAAGAACUUCCAUAUGAGAGAGGGAGGUGACCAAUAAAAAUCUCCAGACAAAUUUUUGCAGAGCUGCUUCCUCUAAGUCUGAAUGGGAAGUGAAAUUCAGUGCUUGGGAAGCAACAUAAGAGGUGUUGUCACCGUCGUAUUCAAGGGAGUGUUAAAAGAAAAAGAGCUGCAUUUGCUUAUGACAGCUACACCUAUGGAUGUGCCCAAUUCCUGACUUGGAAAAAGCCUCUGCAGUACCAAACAGAACUAAAAUCAUGUUGUCAAUGAGAGUUUAAAUGGAUUAGAGGUGAGGAAAGUACUUGCUUGACAGCUCAACUGUUGAAAGACCAACAAGUUAAUCAGAGCUUGUCUUUGUUAACAAAAUAAAUAAAUACCAGUUUAAAAAACAGCUUUAUCCAAAUUGGUACACAUUAUAAGUUCAGGAUUUCCUUCUAUGCUGCAAUAGCAAGACACACGUACCUACAUACAUAUAAAACUCGUUACCCAGCACACACCCAAUUUGGAAAUUCUUUUUCCAAUCAGUUUCUGAGUCCUGCUGACAAGAUGAUCUAUAAGGAACCAUUACACCAGGAAGAUGUAACACUUUACAAUCAACAUUCGGUCAAGGUUUGUACGGUCGUGCAGUUCCCCGCAGUAAGAUAAGCUACAUGUGAGAAUUUGUGUUUAUGCUUUCUCAAAAGAGAAGAUUUCAGACACUGUUUAAUAGGCUAUUAAAAUAAUAUGGCACUUUCAAUAAAUACUUUAAAGCUUCUUAAAGAAAUCAGGAUAAAAAAGCAACUGCUGUAAUGAGCCUGUUUUAGCUAUAAUACGUAAUGCUGAAGGAAAAAAAUCCAGAAGAGCAAACAGAUAUUAACAGUUAAAAGACAGUACAGCUUUUUUUCUUUCUGCAGCAAUAGGAACUGGCUCCCAUUCCCUGGGAAAAGGGAGCGAGCCCACCUCAAAACAAGUAUUCACUCAGUCUUAAAUUAACUGCUCUACGCUCCACCCCAACCCUUACAUCACUUCACUUCUAAGACAUAGUCACAUUUUCAUAUAAAUCUCAGUGCAGAAAUGUAUUAAACAUGAAAAAUACUGAUCCUGCAAACAUUUACAACCACACUUAACAUUAAGUGAGUGCCUAAUGUCAUGACACCAGAAGAGCUACCUACACCCUCAAUGCUAAGCAUAGGUACGUUGCAGCAUCAGGCCCAAAGGUGCCAAUGGCCACCAGGGACAUUGGCUGGGUCAAAACGGUAUCGUUCUGUCUGGUUUUGUCAAGGUUUUCUCAACAGAAGCACAUCAAGAAACAGAAACUUUCAAACCUACACACGGAAACACAGUUACAUGUGUGUACACACUAAUAUGCAAUAUACAUUCAGUAACUUGAAAGAAUAGGUUAAGACUUUAUUCAGAUAGACAAAUUAAGGCAAUUCUCUUAAUGUCUCUUCAAGAUAAAGGACCAUGUCCUCAUUUGUGACCUCUAGGUUUUAAAGCUAUACUUUUCAAGAAAUAUAUUUCAAUUUUUUUUUUUAAUAUUUUCUCCAAUUAGCAGUUUUGUUUGCUUAAUAAAUUAUAUCUGUGCAAGGGUGCACACUGAUAAUUUGGCAGUGGAGAGAAGUCCAAUUCAUUUAUAUAUAAUACAGACUUUUUACAUUUCCAUUACAGGGUGAUUAGUUUAGGACUGCAUUUUGGCUUAACACAAAGAAAAAUUUAGAAGAUCUGGCCAUCCAAUGGACAUAACUUUGUCAGUCUAGCAAGACACAGAACUCAUGUUAUAUUCAAAGUAAAAAAAAAAAAAAAAAAAAAAAAA